rnacentral:rRNA from 1 species
CCUACGGGGGGCUGCAGUGGGGAAUAUUGGACAAUGGGGGCAACCCUGAUCCAGCCAUGCCGCGUGUGUGAAGAAGGCCCUCGGGUUGUAAAGCACUUUCAGUGAGGAAGAACGCCUGGUGGUUAAUACCCAUCAGGAAAGACAUCACUCACAGAAGAAGCACCGGCUAACUCCGUGCCAGCAGCCGCGGUAAUACGGAGGGUGCGAGCGUUAAUCGGAAUUACUGGGCGUAAAGCGCGCGUAGGUGGCUUGAUAAGCCGGUUGUGAAAGCCCCGGGCUCAACCUGGGAACGGCAUUCGGAACUGUCAAGCUAGAGUGCAGGAGAGGAAGGUAGAAUUCCCGGUGUAGCGGUGAAAUGCGUAGAGAUCGGGAGGAAUACCAGUGGCGAAGGCGGCCUUCUGGACUGACACUGACACUGAGGUGCGAAAGCGUGGGUAGCAAACAGGAUUAGAUACCCUAGUAGUC